rnacentral:rRNA from 1 species
AACGUAGGAGGCAAGCGUUAUCCGGAUUUACUGGGCGUAAAGCGCGUGUAGGCGGUUUGGAAAGUUGGAUGUGAAAGCUCCUGGCUCAACUGGGAGAGGUCGUUCAAAACUUCCAGACUAGAGGGUGGUAGAGGGAGGUGGAAUUCCGGGUGUAGUGGUGAAAUGCGUAGAUAUCCGGAGGAACACCAGUGGCGAAAGCGGCCUCCUGGACCAUUUCUGACGCUCAGACGCGAAAGCUAGGGUAGCAAACGGG